rnacentral:rRNA from 1 species
GAUGAACGCUGGCGGCGUGCCUAAUACAUGCAAGUCGAGCGCACGGAUGAGAAGCUUGCCUCUCUGAUGUUAGCGGCGGACGGUGGCGUACACGUGGGUAACCCAUCUAUAACCUACGGAUCAGAUUGGGAAAACGGUGGUAAACACGGGCUAAUACUUCAAACCAGUUGAUUCAAAAUGGAAGAAGGGUUUAAUGCUCUUUCUAGUUUGGCCCGCGCUGCAUUAGCUAGUUGGUUAGGUAACGGCUUACCAAGGCAACGAUGCAUAGCCGACCUGAGAGGGUGAUCGGCCACACUGGAACUGAGACACGGUCCAGACUCCUACGGGAGGCAGCAGUAGGGAAUCUUCCGCAAUGGGCGAAAGCCUGACGGAGCAACGCCGCGUGAGUGAUGAAGGUCUUCGGAUCGUAAAACUCUGUUAUUAGGGAAGAACAUAUGUGUAAGUAACUGUGCACAUCUUGACGGUACCUAAUCAGAAAGCCACGGCUAACUACGUG